UGAAGACGACGAGGUAGAUAGGGCAGAGGUGGAAGUGCGGUAACGCAUGGAGCUGACUGUUACUAAUAGGUCGAGGGUAUAACCAAG
rnacentral:rRNA from 1 species